rnacentral:lncRNA from 1 species
AGCAGUGGGAGAAGCUCCAGCAGAUAAACAAGUUAUUCAUCAUCGCCGUGGGGCCCACAGCCGGCGAAACUGGCACCGAUUCCAAGCCCUUCCUGAGUCUCCGGGAGGUGGGGCCCAGCCAGGGGCCGCGAGGGACGUGGCUCCAUCUUCACGGUGGAGACAGGAACAGCGACCAAAGAUGCUGUGGAGCCUCGGCCACAGGAUCCCAGGAGGAACCCUCCAUGCGCUCCACCCUCUGCAAAUUCAUGCAUAGGUCAACCAUGGCAGAGAGGUUAAAAUUUGGAGUGUGACUUCAAGACACUUGGAGAUUACUGGAGUGGAACAAGAUCCCGUGGAAGCCUGUUGACCAAAAACUUCCAGCAGCACAAAUCUGGGUUAUAGCAGGUGACUUUACUGAUAACCCACUGUCAUGGGCAUUUGUGGCAAGUUCCAGCGCGGGGGCAGUUGCAUGGCAUGUAGGUAAGUACCUGGGCUCUGCCUUCAGUGUUUAGCUAAAUCCUGGCUCUACUGACUUCGUGACUUAUGGUAAGUAUCCCCAUUCACUGCCCUGUGUGUCAGUCUACCCAUUUGUCAAAUAAUUAGGGCUGCUAUAAGGAUUAAAUAAAAUAAUGCUCUGGGGUGGGAAAUGGCCAGCAAAACCUGCCCUCCUCCCUUCCUGGGCACAAGGCUGAUUGCACUGGGCAGCCCCGAUUUGUGUCUAGCUGUGGCUAACUCUUGCCAGUGGAAUGAAAGGGACUGUGAUUCACACAAUUUCUGCCUCCCGUGAUUAAGAGGGAGCUCCCUGCCCUUGUCUUCCCCUCCUUUCUGACUUCUUUUUGGUCAGGAUGGUGACUGAGUCCCCUUGCAGGCUGUGUGUAAGGAAAACAGUAGAGCUGCUAGCAGCCUGGGUUCCUGUUGGAACAGAGAAGCCACUGACUUGGAGCCUCCCCGUGGACCGAGACAUGGAACAGAAUGAAUUUCCUUAUUUUAGCCGUGUUAUUGCUGAGUCACUUGUUACAACAGUGCAGGCUUUCACCCUAAAACAUUCAUGCACAUUGUUUCCAAGUGUGGCUGCUCAUGAUAAGGGCUGGGUAAACUUUGCUAUUAGGACCCUGCUGUCUUGCUCUAGAAGGAUACAGCUACUCCAGUCUCAGCACAGGAAAGACACACAGAACACCUUUUUUUUUUUCUUAAGAUAGGGUCUCAUUCUGUAGCCCAGGCUGGAGUGCAGUGGCACAAUCUUGGCUCACUGCAACCUCUGCCUCUUGGGUUAAGCAAUUCUCCUGCCUCAGUCCCCUAAGUAGCUGGGAUUACAGGUACACAUCACCACACUGGCUAAUAUUUGUGUCUUUAGUAGAGCAGGGGUUUCACCAUGUUGGUCAGGCUGGUCUCGAACUCCCGACCUCAAGUGAUCUGCCCACCUCAGCCUCCCAAAGUGCUGGGAUUACAGGCAUGGACCACCACGCCCAGCCACACAGAACAUAUUCUGACUCUUUUGCAGCAUUGCAGAGACACACGCUUUGUCUUUAGACUUCACGGCUCAGUAGGUGUGUGACGUGGGCAAGUUACUUCACCUCUGCAAAUCUGCUUCAUUAUCCGCUAAACGAGGGAGAAAUAACAACACCUCCUUCACAGAAUAGUGGCGAGCCUUCAAUGAGGUAACACCUGUAAACUGUUGAGCUUUCUUCCGUAAGUGCUAAAUAACUGUGUGCUACUAUUUUAAUGACCAUCUUCCGUAUUCCUAGUAGGGAGCAGAUCAUAAAUUGCCACCUGUUGAAGUUGUUCUGAAUCCGGGGUUGGUCGCUGCAUCUUGCAGGUGUUUUGCCCAGCAGGAUGAUCACCUGAUAGUGAAAAGCAUCUGGUUUUCAGUCCCAGGGCCUUCCUGUCCCCACAUAGCCAAAGCCCACGGGGAGUUAGAAUAAAACAGAGAAGGCAGAUAUGGGACCUGUUGGCUACACCUUAGGAAAUGUCUGUUCUCAUGGUGUCUGUUGAUGUGGCUACAGCCUAGACCUUAAUGCAAGCCUGGCUCUAAGAAGCAAAUUGUCUUGAUUGUUUUUUUUUUUGUUUUUUGUUUUUUUUGUUUCGUUUUUGAGACGGAGUCUUGCUCUGUUGCCCAGGAUGGAGGGCAGUGGCGCGAUCUCUGCUCAUUGCAAUCUCUGCCUCCCGGGUUCAAGCGAUUCUCCUGCCUCAGCCUCCCGAGUAGCUGGAAUUACAGGUGCCCCCUAACACGCCUGGGUAAUUUUUGUAUUUUUAGUAGAGAUGGGGUUUCACCAUGUUGGCCAGGCUGGUCCCAAACUUCUGGCCUCAGGUAAUCCACCCACCUAGGCCUCCCAAAGUGCUGGGAUUACAGGUGUGAGCCACCGCGCCCAGCCCUGAUUGUUUCUGUUUGUUUGUUUUGAGACAGGAUCUUGCUCUGUCACCCAGGCUGGAGUGCAGUGGCAUGCUCACAGCUCACUGCAGUCUCGACCUCCUGGGCUCAAGCGAUCCUCCUGCUUUAGCUUCCUGAGUAGCUGAGACUAUAGGUGUGCGCCAACUCACUUGACUAGUUUUUUAAUUUUUUUGUAGAGACAGGUUCUAUGUUGCGUAGGCUGGUCUCAAGCUCCUGGGCUUAAACGAUCCACCCGCCUCGGCCUCCCAAAGUGCUGGGAUUACAGGCCUGAGCCACAAUGCCCAACCUCAAAUAUUUCAUGGGUUACAUAUUAUAUCAUCGUCUCUAAUGUCGUCUAAAUUCUACAACUUUCAUUAUCAUAAUCACCCACAUCCAUAAUAAAUAGUAGAGGGGAGGCUUUAGUGACAUUCCAUUGACUAAAGCAAAGGCGAGCAAACCAUUCUCUCCAUCUGCCAGGCCGGAUCUGGCCCACUGCUUGUUUUUAUCAAUAAAGUUUUAUUGGAACACAUCCAUGUUCAUUUGUUUACCUGUCAUCUCUGGCUCUUUUUGUGCAACAAUGGUAGAGCUGAAUACCUGUGACAGAGACCACAUGGCCUGCAAAGCCUAAAAUAUUUACUACCUGGCCCUUUACAGAAAAUACUGCCCUUUGACCCAUAGCGUCUCCCUGUGAGGUACCGUCUCCAGAGUCCAGGGAACUGGAAGGAAAAACCUUCAAACUCUCCCAUUCCCAUUCCCACUCAGAAGUUGCUAAAACCCUCCAGGAAGAAACGUGAAUUCAAAGCAACUGUCUGCUAACAAAGGUAAAUCCUUCUCUGGAGCCCUCCAGCUUGACUAACAGCCCAUUUGCCAUCAACCUGGUUAUUAUGAGAAUUUCAAUUAAAUAUAAUCCUUCUUCUCUCUCUCUCUUUUUUUUUUUUUUUUUGAGACAGAAUCUCACUCUGUUGCCCAGGCUGGAGUGCAGUGGCACCAUCUCGGCUCACUGCAACCUCUGCCUCACGAG